UACGUAGGGGGCGAGCGUUGUCCGGAUUUAUUGGGCGUAAAGCGCACGCAGGCGGUCGUGCAAGUUUGGGGUGACAGCUUCUCGCUUAACGAGGAGAGCGUCUCGAAGACUGCAGGACUUGAGGGCCAAAGAGGGACACAGAAUUCCGGGUGUAGUGGUGAAAUGCGUAGAUAUCCGGAGGAAUACCAAAGGCGAAGGCAGUGUCCUGGUUGGUACCUGACGCUCAGGUGCGAAAGCUAGGGGAG
rnacentral:rRNA from 1 species